CGAACGGGUGAGUAAUAUAUCGGAACGUGCCCAGUAUGGGGGAUAACUGCUCGAAAGAGCAGCUAAUACCGCAUACGACCUGAGGGUGAAAGGGGGGGAUCGCAAGACCUCUCGCUAUUGGAGCGGCCGAUAUCAGAUUAGCUAGUUGGUGGGGUAAAGGCCUACCAAGGCAACGAUCUGUAGUUGGUCUGAGAGGACGACCAGCCACACUGGGACUGAGACACGGCCCAG
rnacentral:rRNA from 1 species